rnacentral:lncRNA from 1 species
AAAGAAGACCAAAACUAAUAAAGUAUAAAAAAAUAAAUCAAAAACAUAAAGAAUGGAACAUUAUAUAAUUGAUGCUUAAUACCAGGCGAGUUUUUUAUGGCAGGUAUAGAACUGAAGGGGAUGUGAAUAAGAAAGAGUUGUAGGGCAGAGAGCCCGAAUCAAUUUCUUGGUUGUUUACUUGAGGUUGGAGACGAGGCUCUCUUUCUUCUGCGCCACUCCACUUUCUGAUUUUUUUUUUUUUUUUCCAUUACAUUCCUUUAUAUGAUGCAUCUUCUUAAUUUCUUUGGCUGGUUUAACUGGAACUUUCAAAUUUAAGUUUAAGUUUAUGAGCUACAUCUGUUCAGUUCCUCCUCCAGCACCAAAUGACUCUUCACUCUCAGUUUCAUGCUUAGAUUAGUGUAGAUAUCCAAAUAGAUUUACUGAGUAAGAAGUUGAUCCCUACCCACUCUGGGCCUGGUGGUUUUGCGAACCUCGCAUUACGCACUAGGUCCACGGUUGGACAGGCUUACUGAGCAGACUAGUAGCAAAGCAGUUGGAAACGUACAUCCGCCUGAAAGAAUACGCUUGUAGACAGAUGGUUUCUGAGACAAAAUGAUUUUCGUUAUGCAACAUACAACCAUAUUUCAAACUCACUGCUCCAUGAAGGAUGAAAGCAGCCGGCGGUCAGCUUUCUGUAACUUAUACAUCUCGCGACUCUCUAACGCUUUAAGCUUAUAAAAUCCAAACUCAUGAGUUCUGAAG